rfam:Acinetobacter tandoii DSM 14970 = CIP 107469 genomic scaffold acPFI-supercont1.6, whole genome shotgun sequence.
GGGUGUCUAGCUAGGCUAAGACAGGUGUUUGUUGUAGUCGGGCCGCUACAA